UUGAGCGGCCACCACCUCCCUGAGCACGACCCGAUCUCGUCUGAUCUCGGAAGCUAAGCAGGGUCGGGCCCGGUUAGUACUUGGAUGGGAGACCGCCUGGAAUGCCAGGUUGCUGAUACGC
rnacentral:rRNA from 1 species